GUGUCCUUAUUCUCCUGUAAAAGAAUACAAGCUGAAACGCUUUCAGGUGACAGUAUUGCUCAACAUAAAAACUAUGUGGACCCUGAUGUGCAGAAACUUAAGUCAAUUGCCCAAGGUCGCAUUGCUGGUAUCUCCAUUUGUUAUGCUUGGAAAGUGAGAAAGCAUUCAACUGGCAAAGGAAGUGAACAAAAACAAGAUCAAGAAUAAACAUGACUUAAUUAAAAUCAUAAUGAGGUAUCAUCUUACCCCAGUCAGAAUGUCUCUUAUUAAAAAAAAAAAAAUGAAAACAAAAACAGAUGCUGGCGAGGAUGCAGAGAAUGGAGAAAUCUUACACACCGUUGGCUGGAAUGUAAAGCAGUACAACAUUUAUGGAAAACAGCAUGAAGAUUUCUCUAAGAACUAAAAGAACUACCCUUUGAUCCAACAAUCUACUAAUGGAACCAGAGCAAAUCAAUUGUCUAGCAGCUACGAGGUCUUCUUCACCACAAAACUAUGGCUCUCUUCCCUCGGGUUUAAGGAUCUUUCAAUUUGUCUUGCUUUGUCUUAGGCUGGAGUACAGUGGCACGAUCUCAACUCUCUGC
rnacentral:lncRNA from 1 species